UCGCUGAUACGAAAAUUUAUUGUAUUUACUUUAUUCAAUUGGACCAACUUGCAGCGUGUGGACGAGUCAAGGAGCUUUCCGAGGAGCCAGCCGAUCCCACAGAGAAACCAGAUAAGCCGCCAUGUCCACGCAGCCAGCGGAGAAUGAGGAGAGUGCGGCGGCCAAGUCCAAGCGACCUUCAGAUUCGGCCUUCAAGCAGCAGCGCCUGCCCGCCUGGCAGCCCGUCCUCACCGCCCGCACCGUCCUGCCCACAUUCUUCGUGAUCGGGGUGCUCUUCAUACCCAUCGGCGUGGUCCUGCUGCACCUGAGCAACACCGCCAACGAGCUGAUCAUCGACUACACCAAGUGCAGGCCCUCCGGCGGCAACGCCACCUGCGCCGAGUACCUGGAGGCCAACGCUGGCGGCCAGUGCACCUGCCAGGUGCCCUUCGUCCUGCCCACGGACUUCAAUGGCGUGGUGUACAUGUACUACGGACUGACCAACUACUACCAGAACCACCGUCGCUAUGUGAAGUCACGGGACGACGAGCAGCUGCUGGGUCACCUGUCGCAAACGCCCAGCACGGACUGCGCCCCCUUCGCCUACGAUCCGGAGUCCGGGAAGCCCAUCGCGCCAUGCGGCGCCAUUGCCAACUCGCUGUUCAAUGACACGCUGACCCUGAUGCAGGCCGGCACCGAGAUCAAGCUGCUAAAGACGGGCAUCGCCUGGCCGUCGGACAAGCGCGUCAAGUUUCGCAAUCCCGAGGGCAAUCUCAACGUCUCCCUCAAGGACUUCUCGAAGCCCAUGUUCUGGCAGAAGGGCCUGGCCGAGCUGGACCCGGAGAAUCCGGAGAACAACGGCUUCCAGAACGAGGAUCUGAUCGUGUGGAUGCGCACAGCCGCUCUGCCCAGCUUCCGGAAGCUAUAUCGCCGGCUCAACCAGACGGACAGCACCUAUGCGAAUGGUCUGAAGGCCGGCAAUUAUACGCUGCAUAUCACGUACCAAUAUCCAGUGGUCUCGUUCGACGGCACCAAGCGCAUGAUCCUGUCCACCACCUCCGUGCUGGGUGGCAAGAACCCCUUCCUGGGCAUUGCGUACAUUGUCGUGGGCGCCAUUUGCAUCACACUGGGCCUGGCCCUGCUUUUUAUCCACAUGCGAUGCAAUCGCAGCAUAGUAGUGCAUUAAGAGUCGAGAAAUUCAUAGCCCAUUGAAGCCGCAUUCCUUCUCAUGGCCAAAUUAGCUUUGCCCGGUGCGCGAUAACAGCAACAUGGAGAUGAUCAACGUGAACCCGCACACGCAGUACUCCUAGACCGAGCAGACCGUCAGUAUUCCGGGCCGCUUCACUUAGCUUUAGUAGAUCCAUCUGUUUAAGCCUUAUCAGCAUAAAAUAGUUUCUAUCGACCAAACGGCACUCGACUGUUCUCUUCUUUAUGUUAACUAACUGUGUGCAUUUGGCCAUCCGAUGAGCCGAUGGUCGUGCCUCUUGUUGAUUCUACUUCUUUUUGUCUUCAUGCGUGCACCCGACAAAACAUUUGUGAUUCUUUUAUAUAACUUAUUCUGCACACCAAACACACCUAUGGGCGCCACACGAAUUUCCACCAUUGCUUUACAAACUGCAAAGUAAUACUUUGUGCCUGACCUAAUCUGUAUUGCCUUUUACUACGUUUAUACGCGCAAAUAAACACUGUUAAUGGCA